CCUACGGGUGGCAGCAGUAGGGAAUAUUGCACAAUGGGGGAAACCCUGAAGCAGCAACGCCGCGUGGAGGAUGAAGGUUUUCGGAUUGUAAACUCCUUUUGUCAGAGAAGAAAAUGACGGUAUCUAACGAAUAAGCACCGGCUAACUCCGUGCCAGCAGCCGCGGUAAUACGGAGGGUGCAAGCGUUACGCGGAAUCACUGGGCGUAAAGAGCGCGUAGGCGGGAUGGCAAGUCAGAUGUGAAAUCCUAGGGCUUAACCAUAGAACUGCAUUUGAAACUGUUAUUCUAGAGUAUGGGAGAGGUAGGUGGAAUUCUUGGUGUAGUGGUGAAAUCCGUAGAGAUCAGGAGGAAUACUCAUUGCGAAGGCGGCCUGCUAGAACAUAACUGACGCUGAUGCGCGAAAGCGUGGGGAGCAAACAGGAUUAGAUACCCGAGUAGUC
rnacentral:rRNA from 1 species